UGUGCUUGUUUAUUCAAGCCACCUGCGUCAUUCUACCAUCUCGUCGCCUCCCUUUAUUCAAAAUGACAGGCUUAAACUUCUGCUGCAAAACUGAGCUAUUGUUCAGGAAGAUCCCACUGGCGGAAAAGGAUUGGUGCUGCAUCCAGAGAUGGGGUGUGGGAGACGCUGCGAGAUUCCCUUCCAACCAAGGAUGCUGCCAGACCUGCACAACUUAAAAUUCCUGGUUCUGUUAGCAGGUAGAUGUACUCAACCCCACCUUAUUCUUCCCUGUGCAAGCAUAAAUCUAUUCGGAUCGGUCAAGGCGCCUGUUGGAAAUCGUGAAACGUGAGGGGAAUUUACUUCCCUGUGAAAUCGCUGGUCUCUGGAUUUCAAAAAUGAAAUCUCCAGAUAAAUGGUGCAAUGUGCACUGUCCAUGUCUCGGCACUUCCAAGUAUAAACCCCCUCAACUUUAGCAUGGAAUAAGAAAAGAAGUGCAUGCUGAGCAAGGUCCUCGAGGAGUUUUUAAAAAAACAGGAAGAGUUUAGAUACAGCAAAUAAGGAGAACCUGUUUUCAGUGGCUGGAAAGUAAAUAACCUAAAAGGUUCUGGUUUGAUGAUUGACGAAAGAAAGAGCGGACGGCAUGAUGAAAAUGUCUCUUGUACAAACCGUAUGGUUAGAAUUUGAAAGGUACUGUCUGCGAGGGCGGUCGAUACAGAUUCUGUGAUGGCCUUCAAAAAAAAAAGGUAACUGCACAAAUUACGUAUGGAAGAAAACAAAAAUUGCAGGGACAUGCCGAAAGAGUGAGAAGUGUGCAGAAAUGACUGACUGUCAAAGGAACUGGUGUGGACUCCCAUGUGUCAAAUGGCUUCCUUCUGCUGUAGCUUUACUGUAAUUCUGUGGCAACAAACAGAUAACCUUUGGUUAAGGAAUAGUUAUUAGCCAGGACACCAGGGAGAACUCUGCUGGUUUUCAAGGUAGUGCCGUGGGAUGUUUUACAUUCCUCCAAGAAAACAGUGGCUCUGUUUAAGGUCUCAUUUGAAAGUUGCUACCACUGACAGUGCAGCAUGCUAUACAAAAUUUCAAUCUGUAAAUUGUUGUAAGAAUGAAAAUAUCAACUGAGCCUCACUCGGAGGAUGGAUGGGGGAGAACAAUACUGCAUAGGGACAGGCCCUUCGGCCCUCCAGCCCUCCAAGUCUGAGCAAACACAUUUUUGCCCUUCCAUACUAAAACUGUCUUCACUUACAGGAUCCAUAUCCCUCUAAUCGCUUCCUAUUCUUGCAUUCGUCUAGAUGCUUCCUGAAUGCUGCUAUUGCGUCUGCUUCCACUGCCCCCUCUGGCAACACGUUCCAACACUCAUGACCCUCAUAUUGCUUAUUUGGGGGAUCCUGUUGUGCACAAAUUGGUCCGACAUCGCAAGUGACUAAAUAUCAAAGCACUUAAUUGGCUGCAGAGUACACCGGGACAUCCAGAGGUUGGGAAAUGCAAAUGCAAGCUUUCUUUCCUUUUGUUGACCUAUCCAAAAGAUCCUCUUGUAAUACCCAACAGAAUCAAAACUAAUUUAUCAACAACAUAAACUUAACAGAGGUAGGACUGGCCCCCUCAAUUACAUUUACCAGGACUCGGCACAAGUUGGAGAUGAUUCUCUCAAAUACACAAUUAUUUCAGCUGUUCAACUUCACUGCUACACAUAGGUUAGAAACUUUGUUAGAAGCAUGAAAUACACUACACGUAUACUGUAAUUGUCACAAUAUCAGACGUCACCAUAAGUUACAAAAUUAAAUUGAACCUCCAAUGGCUUUCGACAGCUCCAGUCAUUUCAAAUGUUAAUUGUGCCCUAUUGUGAUAUCUGUAAUGCACAUUCUGUUAUAAAGAUAACUGCACCUCUUCCUACUUGUACUCUUCACUUCAGGCUCUUCCAGCUGAUGACUACAUCACUCAAAAGCACUUGAGGAAAAAUGAAAUCUGGUUCGGCUUUUGAGCCAGGAUGAAACAGAACAAGUUCCAGUCAUGAUAGCUCAUUCCUGCUUAACUCUGAAACAGCAGGAUGCCCAAUCAAGCCACACUCCACAGAGUUGAGCAUGUCAUCUAGCCUGAUACUCCAAUGCAGCACUGAGGGAGCUAUUAUCAUGUGACCAUUUUUGGGAUCUUCCAGGUAUAAAUUAGCUGUCACAUUUCCAACAUUACAACAAGCAGACUUCAAAAAUACAUCAUGGGUCACGAGGCACUUUGGGGUGUCCUUACUAUAUCCAUUUCAGUUUGUGUUUUGAAAGCAACCACCCCCCUCCAUUUUGUUAACUGCUGCCUGAUUUCCAACACCACACCCUUUUCAUUUGGUGGUCAUUGGGAUCAAUUUAUUGAUCCUUAAUCCCAAGCUCAGAAAACCAGUGCAGACCGCAUGUACCACCACUCUAACCAAGAUGAGUCAAUUCAAGCAAGGUCAGAGCAGGGAAAAAUAGGAAAGCAACAUUAAUGGCCCCUAUGACAGUUAUAACAGGUUUGAUAGCACAAACAGAAAUAAAUAAUUAUAUGAUACCCAUUACGGAGACAUAGUUACAAAGUUACCUGAAGCCUCCAGGCUUUUAUAUUUAGUUGUGUAGUUCCAUUAAUAAAAGAUGAGAACAAUUCAGUAGUGAGAAAUUAUCUUUGCUCAGAGGAUCAAGACAUCAAAAAUCAGUUUGAGUGGAGAUAAGAAAUAACAAAGGAAAUAGCAAAACAUGUACAAUUUUAAUCUUCAUGUGGAUUGGACAAUAAAAUUGCCAAGAGUAACCUGGAGUAACAGUAUACUCAGAAAAGUUUCAUAGAACAAGACUUUAUGGAA